rnacentral:lncRNA from 1 species
AUGUUUAGCCCAGCAUCUGGCUCCUAAGCGGUGCCAUGUGGCCAGUCAGUGAUAAAUGAUGGGAGACAGUAUAUGGUAUGUCCAAAAGGAGUGACAGAAAGUGUGGAGGGAAUUUGGACUCACAUUGAUAGUCACUGCAAUGGGGCCUAAACAUGCUAAGCACCUUCCACACGAGAGGUAUAGAGAGCCAGCAAAAGCUCGACUCUUCCAUCUAACAAGCACCACAAACCUAGAGUCAUGCUCUACUUUUUUGGAGAAAACAUGUUGGCUUCCCACUGAGCCUGCCAUCAUGAGGCACAAUAGUGGGCAUCUUGGUGGUUUGCUAAUAAUAACAGCUGAUAUUUAUAGAAGGCUCACUGUGGAUCCAGAACUUUACUGAAAAUUCUACAAGAACUGUAUCUCUCAGUCCUCACAUCAACACUAUGAGGAAGGAACUACUGUUACCCCUGCUUUACAGGUGGGGAAAUGAGGCCCAGAUACCAAGUAGCUGUACUAAAAGCACAGAGAUUUAACCUCCUGGACCUUAUUCACCAGAACGCAAGCCAAACCUCCAUAUACAUUUUACUUACUUCCCAAAAUUUUAUGUGUACAUCAAGAGCUGAUCAUAAAUAGAAGGUCAAAGUGACCUAUUGUGACAUCAAAUCUUGGAGCCACUUUAAUGUGACUUCACUAAAUUGCCUUCGUCCAGUGCCUCACAGACAGCAUCCCAGCACAUCAUGGAGAGCUAAGUGACAGAACAGGCAGCUCCUCUUCUCCCUGACAUGGGCAGUGUUUAAUCAUUCCCUUUGCAAAGGAUCCCCAAAUUGGGAGAGGCUGGAUGGAUGACUAAGUCAAGUUGGUGCAAAAUGAGUCACGUUUCUUGAAGGUCACUUCCCCAAAUGUAUGAGCCACCAAAGGGAAAGGAAAACUAUUUCUUAAGGUUCUAAGAAUUAAGUAGCAUGAAAUCCAAAUCUAAAAUCAUUGUCUCCAUGCUUCAUUGAAGAAAAUGAACGUGAAAAAAUCCAAUAGCAGCUGCAAACCAUUUAAGAAUUCCUAGUUAAACUGCAAAAUACAUUUUCAACCAUUUAGCCAUAACAACUUCUAAACGGAGAAAGUUGCUUCUUUAUAUAAACCACCUCUGUUUACCAAACAUCAGAGAAUCUCCGGGCAGAGGGCUACUGCAGGAUGGGAAUAGUAAGAGAAUGUUACAACCCAUGAGGUGCUGAUCUGCACACACCACCGUGAGGAAAUACCUUAAGUGAUUAAAGACAAACGCCACCUGCAUGCUUGGCAAAGGAGUCCACUGCUAUCGCCACACACUCUCCCCAGUGAGAGAGGGGAAACGAUGGACUGAAGUCCCACAGUGGAUUAGAACUGGGCACAAAAGGAGCCAGGAACAGAAGAUGGCAGCAUAGGAAGGGAAUGUUAUGCUUUGCCCCAGCUGGGGACUCUGGCAGUAUUAUCACUUAGGCAUCCUGAAGCCCAAACUCAAGAAUAAAGAAUUAAAAUUUCAUAUCUUCUUUGACUUAGUAUCCAGAAAAUUUUGUUGAAU